GGGUGCGAUCAUUCCAACACUAACGCAUCGGAUCCCACUAGAACUCCGCAGCUAAGCGUCUUUGGGCGGGAGUAGUACUAGGAUGGGUGACCUCAUGGGAAGUCCUCGUGUUCCACCCA